GCAUAUUUAAGAGGCUUAUUUCAUUACCUAUUUCCCCUGAGUUCUUUUCUCCUCCCAUAUAGACUUGCCUAUCUAUAUAUGGCCUUAAUUUCUAGACUAACAAGUAGUUUUUUAUUCUGCCUCAUUUACCGAAUGAGCAUUCCCUUGUUACCUUGCCCGAGGUCAUGCAUGAGUUCCCAGAAAAUUGAAAGUUAGUCUGCAUUCCCUGGUCACAUCCUACCCAACAAAGCAGUUUCACUGCAGCAUAGAAUCCCCUGGUGCAUAAUUGAGACCUAACUUCAGACUUCUAAACAGGGUAAUGUCAACUCCCUCCUCCAGCUGUUCCAGGCAGUUAUCUUUACCAGCUGUUUACCAUCGUCAACAAUGACAUACUUCUGCAUGUCUGAAAUAUGUGAAACUUCAAAACGGCCCUUUCAUGUUUCUACCCAAGGAAUUUGGAAUGGCUGUUAAGCACCCACAACCUACAAUCAACACAGCUUCUGGCAGCAGUUGGGAAGAGCCAUGAGCAAUGUCACAUCCAGAGGAGAAAGCCAGCAAAAUCAUCCCCUGUACAGUCAUUCUCAAGUACCAUACGCAUUCUACUUUUAUUAACAGAACUAUUUAGAUUAGGCAUGAAAUUAAUUUACUGCUACGCUGGUUUAAGACAUUUAUUUUUAAAAUUAAUUUUGCAAUUGGCUUGAAUCUGUUUUGCUAUAGGAGGCUAGGAUGGCAAACAGACAAUGAAAAAGAAAAACUAUGCAGCCCCAUCAGAGUAAGCGGAUGGCAAGGUGAUUGAUGUUUCUGCCCAAGGAGUGAGCAGAUAGUCAAAAAGCAUGGGCUAAAUCUAUAAUUUUUGUGCUCUGGGGACAAGAGGAAGGAUUGGAGGUGGGAAGUUUCUUAGUUUUAUGCAAUGGAACUGAGAGAGGCAUUUUGCCUGUUCUUUGCAUAUAUUCUACCCUAUUCAAAUUCCAACUGGCAGUGAAGAGUUCUGGCAUUGGCUAACUGAAGAAGCAUCACUUAUUUAUUUGUUUUGUGGCUGUUUGUUUUGCUCUUUUAAUCUCAAUGGCCCAUCAAUUUUUAACUAAGCUCCCUCCAGGGUUUAUGGUUUGGGCAAGCCAGUUAACCACAAUAAGUGGCAUUCCCAAAGAAUUUCUGCGUGCAUUAUUAGCAGAGCACAGUGGCUGCCUUGGACUCCAGGUAAAAAGAUAAAGCAUUUGCUGGGGAUAUUUGUCUCAAUCUAUAGAGAAGGAGGAAUUUCCAAAUGGGUAACCUUUUCCCCCAACCAGAAUCACCCCAAGGAAAUUUGACUUCUCCUAAAAUCCUUUCCCUUUACCAGCUCUCAUACUAGCUCUCCACAUUUUUUCACACCUUAUUGCUCAUAGUCAGAAAGUGCUUCCGAGUCUUGUUUCAAUCCCUUCUGCAUCCUCCUUUCCUAUGUCAUCAAUAAAAAUGGU
rnacentral:lncRNA from 1 species